CCUACGGGAGGCAGCAGUGAGGAAUAUUGGUCAAUGGACGAGAGUCUGAACCAGCCAAGUAGCGUGAAGGAUGACUGCCCUAUGGGUUGUAAACUUCUUUUAUAUGGGAAUAAAACAGGGUAUGCAUACCCUCUUGUAUGUACCAUAUGAAUAAGGAUCGGCUAACUCCGUGCCAGCAGCCGCGGUAAUACGGAGGAUCCGAGCGUUAUCCGGAUUUAUUGGGUUUAAAGGGUGCGUAGGUGGGUUGAUAAGUCAGUUGUGAAAGUGUGCGGCUCAACCGUAAAAUUGCAGUUGAAACUGGCAGUCUUGAGUACAGUAGAGGUGGGCGGAAUGCGUGGUGUAGCGGUGAAAUGCUUAGAUAUCACGAAGAACUCCGAUUGCGAAGGCAGCUUACUGGACUGCAACUGACACUGAUGCUCGAAAGUGUGGGUAUCAAACAGGAUUAGAUACCCUUGUAGUC
rnacentral:rRNA from 1 species